AAUAGGUCUCCACUGUUCAGCACAUGAAUGACUUAUUCCCAGACCAACACUAAGCCCUCUCAGUAUUUGCAGAGUUCGAAGAAUCGAGAAAAGUUCUUCUGGAAAAGCCUCAACUGCAAUUUUUUUGACUGAAGAUUCUUCUGAGAAAGGUUGCAUCAUCUUUACACCAGGUGGUAAUUUUGUGUCAAACAUCCCUUGUGCCAAUUUAAGCAUUUCUUUCUGCUCAUCCUCACAUUUGCUUAGGGUAUCUAUGCCAAGCUCCUUAAAGCUUUCUUUGGCCGUAGUAGCAUUGCCAUCAGCAAUAGCAAGAAUAAGUUUAGCAUAUCCAAGCCUGAGAUUUUCUGGAAGAUCCUUAACUUGUCCAUAGUCCAGCAAUGCAACCUCAGCACCUUUGCAGAUUAGAAUAUUCCCUGGAUGAGGAUCUGCAUGAAAGAAACCACUCCUGAGUAUCAUUUGUCCAUAAGCUAGGGACAAACUUUUAAGUAUGUUCUGCCUUGCUACCGCUGCAAUUUUACCAUCUGGACUGAUGCCUCUCUUUGCCAUUUCAUCUCCUAGCUUCAGAAUCGGGGUUCCAUCUAUAUAUUCCAUCACUAGGACCCUCCUUGUGACAAUAUCUCGAAUCACCCGUGGAACCAUAACUGGGGACUUUUUGUUAUUUUCGUAGAGAAAACGCCGAAUUCUAUCCAUUGCAUCAGCCUCUCUCAAAAAGUUGAAUUCAUAUCCGAUCUGUUUCUCAAUUUCCUUUGUCAAAGAGUAUAUAUCGAAUUUUAUAUCAAUCUUCUGCAAGUAUAGUGCAAAAGCUUGCAAAUUGUGGAUAUCGG
rnacentral:misc_RNA from 1 species